rnacentral:ribozyme from 1 species
AAGAUCGCCAAAAAGGGCAAAAAGCAGCUCUUAAAGAGGCUGCGAGUACCAAAGGGGGAGGUAACAGCAAAAAGGCCCUGAAAAAGGCACUCAAGGGCAUGGACAAGCAGCGCGAUGGGGAGUAUGGUGUG